CCUGUAGUUUCGACAGGAGCCAGAGGUCGGUGAUAAGCAUGCUAACAUUUUGAAAGGCUACAAUAACAUGCCGUCACACACUGGUGAAGGCUGCGGGCUGAGUCACUGAGGAGACACGAGCAACAAGGUGACUGCCUUGCAGCUGGGUUGGCUGCCAACACGCUGUGGGCUCCCACAGUAGCUGUUACUGUGGCCUUCAUCCACAGUUGGCAGCUCAUCCUCCUCAUCCUGGCGUCCAUGCCCUUCCUCUUCUAAGGCCAGUUUAAUUCAAAUGAGGACAGCGACGGGACAUUCCUCUGAGGACCAGGUGACGCUGCAACAGUCUGCAAAGGUGCUAAUAACAUGACAACACAAAGCUGCACUCUGAGACACCGGGCCAAAAUGACUCUGUCCAUAUUUAAUGAUUACUUUUUGGCUGUUUAUAUUUUAGUCAUGUGUUGAGCCAGUGUCUUGAGUGUUUUUGACAGAAAAUUUUGUUUUUUUUCUCAAAUGUUCAAGUCUUAAAUGUAAAACAUAUAUUACUUCACACAUUUUAAUAGCAGGUUAUAGUUCUGUGGUAUGUUGCUGGUUUACUUUUUCCUUGAAUUACACAAUGUUUUCCUUUUUUAUGUCUAAAAUAAACCAGUGUGAAAUAAACAAAGAAAGCUAAUAAGUCAAA